AACGAACGCUGGCGGCAUGCCUAACACAUGCAAGUCGAACGAGACCUUCGGGUCUAGUGGCGCACGGGUGCGUAACGCGUGGGAACCUGCCCUUAGGUUCGGAAUAACUCCCCGAAAGGGGUGCUAAUACCGGAUAAUGUCUUCGGACCAAAGAUUUAUCGCCUUUGGAUGGGCCCGCGUUGGAUUAGCUAGUUGGUAGGGUAAAAGCCUACCAAGGCGACGAUCCAUAGCUGGUCUGAGAGGAUGAUCAGCCACACUGGGACUGAGACACGGCCCAGACUCCUGCGGGAGGCAGCAGUGGGGAAUAUUGGACAAUGGGCGAAAGCCUGAUCCAGCAAUGCCGCGUGAGUGAUGAAGGCCUUAGGGUUGUAAAGCUCUUUUACCCGGGAUGAUAAUGACAGUACCGGGAGAAUAAGCUCCGGCGAACUCCGU
rnacentral:rRNA from 1 species